UUUGAUUGAAAGCUAAUUGUUUUAUAUCAAAUAUAGAUUUUUCUUAUUCUUACAUUAUUAUUGGCUAUUGUUUAGAUUGUAAUAGCCCAUUUUUGCCCGGGCCCAAUAAAAAAUGUUAACAGUCCCAGUCCAUUUACAACAAACCAGAUAGGCCCAAAGCCCUAACGGCCCAAUAUGGCCUAAAAAACUAAACAAAAUUAGAAAACCCUAGGGUUCCCUUCCCCUCUUGCGCCGCAGCCUCCCCCAUGUGCGUCCUCGGCGUGCACGAUGCCCGAUGACGACUCCUUCACCGAGGUUGCACCAAAAUGGCAAUGGUUUCUGCUCGUUGACUCCUCAUGACCUGCAAAAUAGACGAAGAUAGCAGCCAAUAGACAAAAACAGAGACAGCAGAAACAAACAGUAGCAAAAAAGAUGUAUUUGGCUAUAUAAGCCCAAAAACCAAACAAAUGUAAGGGGAAAAAUAUUGUAUGAAAAGCUAUUGAAAAAUAUAAAAAAAGAGAAUACAAAAACAAAGGUGAUUUUUUUGCAUUCGAAGCUCUCUUUAUUUGUGCUUUAUUUUUAUUUUUAUUUAUCUUUCUUAUACCAAAUAACCAAAAAAACAAAAAAAAAAGAAAAAGAAAAUCUCACCCGCGCCUCGCCGGAGGAGGAGAGGCCGAACGAUUUCUCCUCAUUUUUUUCGGGUUUGGGUUCACCUUUCAAAGGAUUCAAACUUGAAUCCAGGUUCUAGGGGUGACGAGCUUUAAGCGGGGCUAAGAAAGGCCCGAUUUUGCACCUCCGGCGGAAGUGUGCCGAAGCCCUCGAUCGAAGUCUUAGGCCGGAUUUUGGAGGGGAGGCCGAGAGAGAGCUCACUCUCUCUGUUUUCUG
rnacentral:lncRNA from 1 species